UCCUAAAGAUAUUUGAAUACAAGGGUCACAAUGCUGGAUAAAUAUGACAUCAUAUUUUGAUGAACUGUAACUUUCUUUCCUGAGAUGUGGGAGGUGGAUGAAAUUGAGAAGGGUUUUGAUAUUUACAAACUUUCAUGGCAUAGAAGAUGGAUGAUGAAUUAGGUAAAUUCUCUUCGUAUUUUGAAUUGAGAUAAAUUUUCUCACUUAAAUGGUGACAGAAUAAUCAAAAACAAGAUUCUAAUAAUUUGUAUUUCAUUCAUUUGAUAAUAUUUUCCACCAUUGGAGCAUUCAUGGAAGUAUUUUUAGUAUCAAUAAACAUAAUGUAAUUUCUAAGAUGUUGAUCUGCCAUAUAUAGCAAACAAAUUCACAUUUAUGGAUCGAUACCAACAGUAUUUCAACAUUUGCAAAUACAAGAAAUUUGUAACUGUUCAAUACAACAUGAUUAAAUACUAAAUACUAGCACAUUAGACCCUGAUUUUUUUUUCUUCUCUCUUUUCAAUUUAAGAUAUCUGUAAUGUUCACAAACUCAUGAUCUGGUUGGAUAAAAAUAUAAUGACAGUUUAGUUAAGAAAACCACUAAAAAAAAUCAAAUUCAAGAUAAUUAUCAGAACCUUGAUGGUUUGGGAUAGCUGCAGGAGCAACUUUCAGACUAGUUGAUGCUGUUGGGGCGGGAAUUCUUUCG
rnacentral:lncRNA from 1 species